GCGUAGGUGAUGGACAACAGGUUGAUAUUCCUGUACUACCGAUAACCGUUUGAGAGAAGGGAUGACACAGUAGGAUAAGCUAAGCACACUGUUGGUUAUGUGUGCCCAAGCAUUGAGGCAGUCAAAGUAGGCAAAUCCGCUUUGAUAAUGCUGGGAUGUGAUGGGGAGCGAAAUUUAGUAGCGAAGUAGCUGAUUUCACACUGUCAAGAAAAGUCUCUAUCGAGGUUAAAGGUACCCGUACCGCAAACCGACACA
rnacentral:rRNA from 1 species